GCCGGCGUGGCUCAAUGGCAGAGCGUCACCUUCCUACAGUACAGUACAGUAACUAGGUGAAGGUUGAGGGUUCGACCCCCUCCGUCGGUA
rfam:Fibulorhizoctonia sp. CBS 109695 unplaced genomic scaffold FIBSPscaffold_62, whole genome shotgun sequence.